rnacentral:rRNA from 1 species
UCGCAGUACUGCGGAGGACAUUA